GGACGAACGCUGGCGGCGUGCCUAAUACAUGCAAGUUGAGCGCUGAAGGUUGGUACUUGUACCGACUGGAUGAGCAGCGAACGGGUGAGUAACGCGUGGGGAAUCUGCCUUUGAGCGGGGGACAACAUUUGGAAACGAAUGCUAAUACCGCAUAACAACUUUAAACACAAGUUUUAAGUUUGAAAGAUGCAAUUGCAUCACUCAAAGAUGAUCCCGCGUUGUAUUAGCUAGUUGGUGAGGUAAAGGCUCACCAAGGCGAUGAUACAUAGCCGACCUGAGAGGGUGAUCGGCCACAUUGGGACUGAGACACGGCCCAAACUCCUACGGGAGGCAGCAGUAGGGAAUCUUCGGCAAUGGACGAAAGUCUGACCGAGCAACGCCGCGUGAGUGAAGAAGGUUUUCGGAUCGUAAAACUCUGUUGGUAGAGAAGAACGUUGGUGAGAGUGGAAAGCUCAUCAAGUGACGGUAACUACCCAGAAAGGGACGGCUAACUACGUGCCAGCAGCCGCGGUAAUACGUAGGUCCCGAGCGUUGUCCGGAUUUAUUGGGCGUAAAGCGAGCGCAGGUGGUUUAUUAAGUCUGGUGUAAAAGGCAGUGGCUCAACCAUUGUAUGCAUUGGAAACUGGUAGACUUGAGUGCAGGAGAGGAGAGUGGAAUUCCAUGUGUAGCGGUGAAAUGCGUAGAUAUAUGGAGGAACACCGGUGGCGAAAGCGGCUCUCUGGCCUGUAACUGACACUGAGGCUCGAAAGCGUGGGGAGCAAACA
rnacentral:rRNA from 1 species